rnacentral:rRNA from 1 species
GACGGAGGGUGCAAGCGUUGUUCGGAAUCACUGGGCGUAAAGCGCGUGUAGGCGGUUGAAUAAGUCGGAUGUGAAAGCCCGGAGCUCAACUCCGGAAGUGCAUUCGAAACUGUUCGGCUCGAGUACGGGAGAGGGAAGUGGAAUUCCUGGUGUAGAGGUGAAAUUCGUAGAUAUCAGGAGGAACACCGGUGGCGAAGGCGGCUUCCUGGACCGAUACUGACGCUGAGACGCGAAAGCGUGGGGAG